GAUUGCGCAUUGAAGCAAAGGAACGAGUGAAGUCUGUAUUUCAUGCCAGAGAGUUUGGAAAAAUAAUUAACUUCAAGACCCCAGAGGAUGCCAGGGUAAAUAUAAUAAAUCUUUUAUUUAAAUAGGAGCUGCUCACUUCAAAAUCAUUGGAUCCUCACAAAGCUACAAGAAGCAAGAGAACCUUCUCCGAGCCUCUGACAGAGAACACUGCCUGAAGACACACAGCAAUAAGUGAUUACAGCUCCUAGACUACCUUCCAAAACCUGUUUGGGAAGCAUAUUACAGAAAUGAUUUCAAGUACCCUGUAUUCUGGAUGCUAAAAAA
rnacentral:lncRNA from 10 species